AAACCAUGAAUUAGGCAUUUCCAAAGUAAAUCUUUAAAUCGCUCCCAAGCUUCAUACAAAUUCUUAUCCUCCUAUUGCUUGAAAUAUGUGAUGUCGUUCCUCAAUCU